CCUGGCCCCGCCCCCUGGGGGACUGGGAGGAGUUACAAGGGCAAAAGAAAAGUGGAGAAAGGCGCGGAAGGUUUCAAACAUUCCUGCUUUCCUGGAAAGCUCAAAGACUGUAGGCACUAUGUUCUGAGUGCCUGACAGAGUCCCACAAGAGUUCCACAGCUAAAGGCAUCACAGUUCCAACCUAGACCAGUGAGAGAAGGGAAGAGAAGCCUGCUUUCUCUGAAUCAUGGCAAUGUCCUAAGACAAAACAAAACAUAUGGCACAAUUCCUUUUUAAGGUUUUAUCUCACAAACACAAUGUACCGCAUAAAAAUAUAUGUGCAAAUGUGUUCACUGCGGCAUAUUGGUAAUAGUUCUGCCAAGAGUCUAUCAUCGGUAAGGACUGCUUUGCCUGUGGUACGUCACCCGCCGGAACACCACCCAGCCACGAAACACAGGUGAGGUAGAUCUGUACAUGCUGACAGUGAAACUGUCACAACUCCGGGAAAGCACAAGUUGCAAAAAAAAAAAAAAAAAAAAAAGACGUACAGUUUGAUGACAUUUCUGUAAAAAUAAAAA